rnacentral:lncRNA from 1 species
GAACACACAGACUCUGGUGGAUCCAAUCUCUGUCUAGCAGUGCAUUGUAAGUGGUAGAAGUGGUGUCUACAACAAAAAAGGCAAUCUUUAGCUUUUUGGUUCCUACUAUGACAUCUACGUCUAGUAUUCUAUGAGUCUUGGCGAUGCCCCCAGCGAAAUUGGUGACCAUUAAGCAUGUUGGGAUUAAAUCUUUCUAUGUUCUGCCCAUUUUGAACAACAACCUAUGAGGAAGAAGGUUGAUGGCUACGCCUCCAUCUGUCAUGACUUUAGGGAUAGGAAC